UGGGGAAUAUUGCACAAUGGGCGAAAGCCUGAUGCAGCGACGCCGCGUGAGGGAUGACGGCCUUCGGGUUGUAAACCUCUUUCAGCAGGGACGAAGCGCAAGUGACGGUACCUGCAGAAGAAGCACCGGCUAACUACGUGCCAGCAGCCGCGGUAAUACGUAGGGUGCAAGCGUUGUCCGGAAUUACUGGGCGUAAAGAGUUCGUAGGCGGUGUGUCGCGUCGUUUGUGAAAACCAGCAGCUCAACUGCUGGCUUGCAGGCGAUACGGGCAGACUUGAGUACUGCAGGGGAGACUGGAAUUCCUGGUGUAGCAGUGAAAUGCGCAGAUAUCAGGAGGAACACCGGUGGCGAAGGCGGGUCUCUGGGCAGUAACUGACGCUGAGGAACGGAAGCGUGGGUAGCGAACAGG
rnacentral:rRNA from 1 species